GCGUGUUGACGCAAUGUGAUUUCUGCCCAGUGCUCUGAAUGUCAAAGUGAAGAAAUUCAAUCAAGCGCGGGUAAACGGCGGGAGUAACUAUGACUCUCUUAAGUAGAGUCUUAGUCUUAGUGGGUUGAGUGUAGUGAGCUCGUUGAGGCGUGUUUCCUUAGCUAUCGUGAUGAGAAGAAAAGUAACGCCAAGAGGCCAGUUAGAAAGAAGGCAGUUAAGAGAGAGCUGAAGAAUAGAGAGAAGCGCAGAAGAGCGUAUGGAGAGAUGCAGAGAAUUUAUAGUAAGGAUAGGAAGAAAGCAGCGGCUGCUGUUUUUAGUGGCGCGUGGAGGUUGUGGAGUGAGCCUAGAGAGGAGAAUAAGCAGUUUGAAGAUCAGAAGAUGGAGUAUUGGAAGAGAGUUUUGGGCAGGGAGUCUGACCCGGAUGGUCGUCCGGUUAAGCCUCUGAGGGAGCCAGCUGUUGAGAUCGAGGAGCCGAUUAGUCUAGCAGAGUGCAAGAAAGCGCUGAGAGACCUUAAGCAGACAGCUUCGGGACCAGAUGGCGUUAGCUGGAGUAGUGUGAAGAGCUUGGGUCCAGGUUGGCUUCAGUACCUUUUUAAUUCCAUCUUGGCGUGCGGGUAUCCUACAAAAUCUUUUAAAAAUUCGCGCACAGUGCUGAUUCCUAAGACAGAAAAACCUAGUGACCCGGGAGAGUUUAGGCCCUUAGCGAUUGCUAGUGUCUUUGGCAGAGUCUUUCAUAGAAUCUUAGCUAGUAGGUUGGGAGUCUGGGCGCCGUUAGGAGCGAGUCAACGAGCCUUUCAGGUUGGGAUCGAUGGUGUCUCUAUGAACCAUCUCAUCUUAGAGGCGGCUCUGGCGGCAGCUAGAAGGGGAGAUAGUGAGCUUUAUUUAGCUUGGUUAGAUCUUAGAAAAGCGUUUGACUCGGUUAACCAUCAAUCUUUGCUUCGUGCAGCUCGGCGUGCAGGACUGCCUGAGUCCAUCUUGGGUUACUUGGGCAACCUGUACGACGGGGCGGUCACCGAGUUGAACGGGGUUGCUAUUAAGAUUAGUAGAGGGGUUAAGCAGGGGGAUCCUCUAUCACCUAUUCUAUUCUGCUAUGUGAUAGAUGAGUUAAUGGACAACCUAGAUAGCGGUAUUGGGUUCCCGUUGGCAGGGCAUAGAGUCAACGCGGCAGCCUUUGCCGACGACUUGGCUAUUCUGUCUAGGUCUAAAGCCGGUUUGCAGGCGCUCUUGGCAAGCUUGGCCGACUCACUUCUUCCCACUGGGCUUGAGGUGAACCCGGCUAAGUGCUCCACGCUUGCUAUUAUUUGGGACGGGAAGAAUAAGCGUUGGCUGCAUGAUGCCAAGGGGCAGUUUAAGUUUAGGGGGUCUACUCUGCCAGCACUUGGAGUUGAGGAGUCGUAUAAGUAUUUAGGACUUCAGUAUGGUUCAAAGGGCAAGUUGAAGACGGGGCUGGAGUUGCUUAAGGGUAUGCUCAGAGAGUUAAAAGGAGGCGCCGUUGAAACCGCAGCAGAGAGUGUUCCUGCUCAGAACAAAUAUUCUACCUAAGAUUAUGUAUUACUUAGUUAAUGGACGCGUGCACCAGUACACUCUUCGCGAGUGUGACAAGUGUGUUCGACGUUUUCUCAGGGAGGUUCUCCAUCUGCCGCACGACACUCCGGUGUCUGCCUUUCAUGCGUGUGCGAAGGAUGGAGGCCUCGACAUCGACUGUUUUGAGUCGCUUGUCCCAAUGUAUAAAUGGCAGAAGCUGGUGAGCCUCGAAGAGGUUCCGGACAAUUUGGUCCGUGACUUGUCUCAGCUACCUGCCAUUCGCAAGCGGUUUCAACUUAAAGGUGCGCAGACCAGUUUUAAUAACAGAGCGGAGUAUCGGAUGUUCUGGAAGAACAAGUUGCUGGACAAUCUAGAUGGAUUUGGUUUAGGUGAAGCAGCGGACGUUCCUCAAGUCCACUCUUGGGUGACUGAUGGCUCGUCCCUGCUCACAGGCGAAAUGUAUAUUAAGUGCCUUAAAAUUAGGUGGAAUGUUUGGCCGACUGCAGCUCGUGCGUCCAGAGGUAGGAGGCAGGCCCCUCUCUGUGAUGCGGGCUGCAGGCAAAUUGAAGGUUUGGGGCACAUUCUGCAGCAGUGUAAUAGGACUUGGGAUAAGAGAGGGGCUAGGCAUGAUAGAAUUGUUGAGUUUGUUGGUAGUCAGGUGGAACGGCGAGGGUUCAAUGUUAUUAAGGAGAAGUCUUUUGCGACUCCUAGGGGGCAUAGACGACCUGAUCUAAUUAUAUAUAAUAAGGAUAGAGUGUGGAUUGCUGACGUCACGAUCUGUGCGGACAGAGGAGCGGGGCCUAUGGCCCUCGCGAGGGACAACAAGAUCAAGUAUUAUACGGACGAGGAUCUAGCGACUGAGGUCGCGAAGGUGGCGGGCCCUGGUGCCCAGAGCGUUGUUGGCCUGGUUUGGAACUGGAGAGGGUGUUGCGAGAAGAAGACGGAUGAGUGGCUCAAGAAGAUGGGUGUGCCGAUC
rnacentral:ncRNA from 1 species